GCCGGCGUAGCUCAGUCGGUAGAGCGGCUGAUUCGUAAUCAGCAGGUCAGGGGUUCGAAUCCCCUCGCCGGCUCCA
rnacentral:tRNA from 1 species